rnacentral:rRNA from 1 species
UUGAACGCUGGCGGCAUGCUUUACACAUGCAAGUCGAACGGCAGCGGGGGCUUCGGCCUGCCGGCGAGUGGCGAACGGGUGAGUAAUGCAUCGGAACGUGCCCAGUCAUGGGGGAUAACUACGCGAAAGCGUAGCUAAUACCGCAUACGCCCUGAGGGGGAAAGCGGGGGAUCGCAAGACCUCGCGUGAUUGGAGCGGCCGAUGUCGGAUUAGCUAGUUGGUGGGGUAAAGGCCUACCAAGGCGACGAUCCGUAGCGGGUCUGAGAGGAUGAUCCGCCACACUGGGACUGAGACACGGCCCAGACUCCUACGGGAGGCAGCAGUGGGGAAUUUUGGACAAUGGGGGCAACCCUGAUCCAGCCAUGCCGCGUGAGUGAAGAAGGCCUUCGGGUUGUAAAGCUCUUUCAGACGGAAAGAAAACGCCCCUCCUAAUACGGGGGGUGGAUGACGGUACUGUCAGAAGAAGCACCGGCUAACUACGU